rnacentral:lncRNA from 1 species
UGAGCUUUCUGCUGCUUCUCUUCUCCUCUGUCUCUCUCUCUCUCUCUUUCGCCUUUCGCUGCCUUGCGUUUCUUCCUGCCGGACUGAGAAACAUGGGCUGCCUCUCAAUGGUUCCCCCUCGUGCCUCCCUGAACAAAUCAGGCCCCACAACUCAAACAGACCUGUUCUUUCAGUUCUUUCCCUUUCUUUGACCUCCUCGACUUGCCCACUGAAGAGCUCAAGAUCAAGUUUUUCCCACACUGACUUCACAAUUUCUUAAGGCUUCUUAAGAUCUUUCCGUCCCACCAGACUCGCAAAACUGUGCUAACCAAUUCCAAAUCUUGACAGCCCAAGUGAGUGUCUUCAGUCUUCUGAUGCGAAGAAAUCCAACAAAGAUGGGGAGACGGCUGAAUGCUGAAUGGACAGAUGAAGAAAAAGAAGAAGAAGAAGAAGAAGAGGAAGAAGUCAGCAAGCAACCUUAAAGGAUGGGUGAGAAACGGAGGAGGCGUGAGAGAGUGAGAAAUGGGGUUCCAACUUAGAGGAGUGCAAUAUAAGAGAGGGUGAUAAGCGAGAAGAGAAGUGAGGGAUCUGGACUCAGCUGCAGCUGAAGAUGACCAAAGGAUAGAUACAGCAUAAAAGGAACAGCAGCAGCUUUUGCAGAACAGAAGACAAAGAAAGUAAAAAAAAGGAGUGUGAAGAGAGGACAACUCUGCACCAACAUGGCAUGGAAAACCAUGUGUUACGCUUUUCUGUGGGUCCAGAAAGACGUGCAUGUGCAGAACACAGGGCCUAGAGGAAUGCUGUCUUCCACCUCUGCUGUCUUUUGUCAUCUGUGGAAUUCUGUCCCACUGAAAUUAAAGAAGGACCUCGGCUUGUUUACUCUACAGAUAAGUAAAUAAAAUCCUUGGAACAUCCA